rnacentral:misc_RNA from 1 species
AAUUCAGAACGAUACACACUCCAAACUGCACUUGAAAAUUUUGAGAAAUCUUUCUGACCGGUGAUGGUAAUUGGGUUGUUGCUUUGUUCAUCUCAUUUGGACAAUUCCUGCGCUAAUCAGCUUCUGAAUUUUGUUCAUCACCAUUGGGUUCUUUGUGUGUUCUUGAGCCGCCUUUGGAUUUUCCUGGAAAUCAAUCAAUACCUGUCUCAUUACAGGAUCUGUGAGAAUGCUUUGGAUUUCUGGGUCUUGCAUUGCCUUGGCCUGUCUUUCCUUCAAUUCUUCGGGGGUCAAGUCCCCGCGGCUUGCCUUGUUAACCUGUUCUACACAUCUUCUAAUACCAUCCAACAAUUCUUGGUUUUUGGGGUCAUGUUUCAAUCCCUCCUGGUAAGUUUCCAUAGCUUUUUCAUACUCUUUCAUGAA